rnacentral:rRNA from 1 species
UACGGAGGGUGCAAGCGUUAUCCGGAUUCACUGGGUUUAAAGGGUGCGUAGGCGGGUCUUUAAGUCGGGGGUGAAAUCCUGGAGCUCAACUCCAGAACUGCCUUCGAUACUGGCGAUCUUGAGUCCGGAAGAGGUGAGUGGAACUCCUAGUGUAGAGGUGGAAUUCGUAGAUAUUAGGAAGAAACACCAGUGGCGAAGGCGGCUGCACUGGUC